rnacentral:rRNA from 1 species
UACGUAGGGGGCAAGCGUUGUCCGGAUUUAUUGGGCGUAAAGAGCGUGUAGGCGGCUGGGUAGGUCCGUUGUGAAAACUCGAGGCUCAACCUCGAGACGCCGAUGGAAACCCUCCAGCUAGAGUCCGGAAGAGGAGAGUGGAAUUCCUGGUGUAGCGGUGAAAUGCGCAGAUAUCAGGAGGAACACCGGUGGCGAAGGCGGGUCUCUGGGCAACAACUGACGCUGAGGAGCGAAAGCGUGGGGAGCGAACAGG